GGCUGACCGAAGCUGCCUAUGGACUUCUCACGGUUCUGUCUUUCAAAAUAUUCAACAUGGCACUGAAUUUAGUUGUUAAGAUUCAUCCCGUUGUAUUAUUUCAAAUUGUCGACGCAUAUGAGCGACGAAAUGCCGAUUCACAUCGUGUUAUUGGUACCUUGCUAGGAACAUCUGACAAAGGUGUAGUGGAAGUCACGAAUUGCUUCUGCGUGCCACACAAGGAACAUGCGGACCAGGUGGAGGCAGAGCUAAAUUAUGCUAUGGAUGUUUAUGAGCUCAACCGGAGGGUCAAUGCCUCAGAAAACAUUGUUGGCUGGUGGGCGACGGGCAACGAGGUGACGAACCACUCGUCGGUGAUCCACGAGUACUACUCGCGCGAGUGCCGCGAGCCGGUGCACGUGACGCUGGACACGUCGCUGGCGGGCGCGCGCAUGGGGCUGCGCGCCUACGUGUGCGUGGCGCUGGGCGUGCCGCGCGGCAAGCAGGGCUGCAUGUUCACGCCCAUCGACGUGGGCCUCACCUACUACGAGCCCGAGAUCGUGGGCCUGCAGCUGUGCGACAAGACGGCGGGCGCGGGUGGGCGCGCGCGGGCCGUGGCGCCGCCCGGCGACCUGGCGCAGGUGGCGGAGGCGGCGGCGCGGCUGGGCACGCAGCUGGAGCACGUGCUGGGCUACGUGGAGGACGUGCUGGCGGAGCGCGCGGCGCCCAACAACGCGGUGGGGCGCGAGCUGCUGCAGCUGGUGAGCGCGCUGCCCGACCUGGCCUCCGCCUCGCUGGCCGACGCGCUGGCGGGCCAGGUCAAGGACCUGCUCAUGGUGAGUGCGUGCUCGGGCCGCCCGUGUAUCAUUUGUUUGCACAUACAACGCGGUGGGGCGCGAGCUGCUGCAGCUGGUGAGCGCGCUGCCCGACCUGGCCUCCGCCUCGCUGGCCGACGCGCUGGCGGGCCAGGUCAAGGACCUGCUCAUGGUGAGUGCGUGCUCGGGCCGCCCGUGUAUCAUUUGUUUGCACAUACAACGCGGUGGGGCGCGAGCUGCUGCAGCUGGUGAGCGCGCUGCCCGACCUGGCCUCCGCCUCGCUGGCCGACGCGCUGGCGGGCCAGGUCAAGGACCUGCUCAUGGUGAGUGCGUGCUCGGGCCGCCCGUGUAUCAUUUGUUUGCACAUACAACGCGGUGGGGCGCGAGCUGCUGCAGCUGGUGAGCGCGCUGCCCGACCUGGCCUCCGCCUCGCUGGCCGACGCGCUGGCGGGCCAGGUCAAGGACCUGCUCAUGGUGAGUGCGUGCUCGGGCCGCCCGUGUAUCAUUUGUUUGCACAUACAACGCGGUGGGGCGCGAGCUGCUGCAGCUGGUGAGCGCGCUGCCCGACCUGGCCUCCGCCUCGCUGGCCGACGCGCUGGCGGGCCAGGUCAAGGACCUGCUCAUGGUGAGUGCGUGCUCGGGCCGCCCGUGUAUCAUUUGUUUGCACAUACAACGCGGUGGGGCGCGAGCUGCUGCAGCUGGUGAGCGCGCUGCCCGACCUGGCCUCCGCCUCGCUGGCCGACGCGCUGGCGGGCCAGGUCAAGGACCUGCUCAUGGUGAGUGCGUGCUCGGGCCGCCCGUGUAUCAUUUGUUUGCACAUACAACGCGGUGGGGCGCGAGCUGCUGCAGCUGGUGAGCGCGCUGCCCGACCUGGCCUCCGCCUCGCUGGCCGACGCGCUGGCGGGCCAGGUCAAGGACCUGCUCAUGGUGAGUGCGUGCUCGGGCCGCCCGUGUAUCAUUUGUUUGCACAUACAACGCGGUGGGGCGCGAGCUGCUGCAGCUGGUGAGCGCGCUGCCCGACCUGGCCUCCGCCUCGCUGGCCGACGCGCUGGCGGGCCAGGUCAAGGACCUGCUCAUGGUGAGUGCGUGCUCGGGCCGCCCGUGUAUCAUUUGUUUGCACAUACAACGCGGUGGGGCGCGAGCUGCUGCAGCUGGUGAGCGCGCUGCCCGACCUGGCCUCCGCCUCGCUGGCCGACGCGCUGGCGGGCCAGGUCAAGGACCUGCUCAUGGUGAGUGCGUGCUCGGGCCGCCCGUGUAUCAUUUGUUUGCACAUACAACGCGGUGGGGCGCGAGCUGCUGCAGCUGGUGAGCGCGCUGCCCGACCUGGCCUCCGCCUCGCUGGCCGACGCGCUGGCGGGCCAGGUCAAGGACCUGCUCAUGGUGAGUGCGUGCUCGGGCCGCCCGUGUAUCAUUUGUUUGCACAUACAACGCGGUGGGGCGCGAGCUGCUGCAGCUGGUGAGCGCGCUGCCCGACCUGGCCUCCGCCUCGCUGGCCGACGCGCUGGCGGGCCAGGUCAAGGACCUGCUCAUGGUGAGUGCGUGCUCGGGCCGCCCGUGUAUCAUUUGUUUGCACAUACAACGCGGUGGGGCGCGAGCUGCUGCAGCUGGUGAGCGCGCUGCCCGACCUGGCCUCCGCCUCGCUGGCCGACGCGCUGGCGGGCCAGGUCAAGGACCUGCUCAUGGUGAGUGCGUGCUCGGGCCGCCCGUGUAUCAUUUGUUUGCACAUACAACGCGGUGGGGCGCGAGCUGCUGCAGCUGGUGAGCGCGCUGCCCGACCUGGCCUCCGCCUCGCUGGCCGACGCGCUGGCGGGCCAGGUCAAGGACCUGCUCAUGGUGAGUGCGUGCUCGGGCCGCCCGUGUAUCAUUUGUUUGCACAUACAACGCGGUGGGGCGCGAGCUGCUGCAGCUGGUGAGCGCGCUGCCCGACCUGGCCUCCGCCUCGCUGGCCGACGCGCUGGCGGGCCAGGUCAAGGACCUGCUCAUGGUGAGUGCGUGCUCGGGCCGCCCGUGUAUCAUUUGUUUGCACAUACAACGCGGUGGGGCGCGAGCUGCUGCAGCUGGUGAGCGCGCUGCCCGACCUGGCCUCCGCCUCGCUGGCCGACGCGCUGGCGGGCCAGGUCAAGGACCUGCUCAUGGUGAGUGCGUGCUCGGGCCGCCCGUGUAUCAUUUGUUUGCACAUACAACGCGGUGGGGCGCGAGCUGCUGCAGCUGGUGAGCGCGCUGCCCGACCUGGCCUCCGCCUCGCUGGCCGACGCGCUGGCGGGCCAGGUCAAGGACCUGCUCAUGGUGAGUGCGUGCUCGGGCCGCCCGUGUAUCAUUUGUUUGCACAUACAACGCGGUGGGGCGCGAGCUGCUGCAGCUGGUGAGCGCGCUGCCCGACCUGGCCUCCGCCUCGCUGGCCGACGCGCUGGCGGGCCAGGUCAAGGACCUGCUCAUGGUGAGUGCGUGCUCGGGCCGCCCGUGUAUCAUUUGUUUGCACAUACAACGCGGUGGGGCGCGAGCUGCUGCAGCUGGUGAGCGCGCUGCCCGACCUGGCCUCCGCCUCGCUGGCCGACGCGCUGGCGGGCCAGGUCAAGGACCUGCUCAUGGUGAGUGCGUGCUCGGGCCGCCCGUGUAUCAUUUGUUUGCACAUACAACGCGGUGGGGCGCGAGCUGCUGCAGCUGGUGAGCGCGCUGCCCGACCUGGCCUCCGCCUCGCUGGCCGACGCGCUGGCGGGCCAGGUCAAGGACCUGCUCAUGGUGAGUGCGUGCUCGGGCCGCCCGUGUAUCAUUUGUUUGCACAUACAACGCGGUGGGGCGCGAGCUGCUGCAGCUGGUGAGCGCGCUGCCCGACCUGGCCUCCGCCUCGCUGGCCGACGCGCUGGCGGGCCAGGUCAAGGACCUGCUCAUGGUGAGUGCGUGCUCGGGCCGCCCGUGUAUCAUUUGUUUGCACAUACAACGCGGUGGGGCGCGAGCUGCUGCAGCUGGUGAGCGCGCUGCCCGACCUGGCCUCCGCCUCGCUGGCCGACGCGCUGGCGGGCCAGGUCAAGGACCUGCUCAUGGUGAGUGCGUGCUCGGGCCGCCCGUGUAUCAUUUGUUUGCACAUACAACGCGGUGGGGCGCGAGCUGCUGCAGCUGGUGAGCGCGCUGCCCGACCUGGCCUCCGCCUCGCUGGCCGACGCGCUGGCGGGCCAGGUCAAGGACCUGCUCAUGGUGAGUGCGUGCUCGGGCCGCCCGUGUAUCAUUUGUUUGCACAUACAACGCGGUGGGGCGCGAGCUGCUGCAGCUGGUGAGCGCGCUGCCCGACCUGGCCUCCGCCUCGCUGGCCGACGCGCUGGCGGGCCAGGUCAAGGACCUGCUCAUGGUGAGUGCGUGCUCGGGCCGCCCGUGUAUCAUUUGUUUGCACAUACAACGCGGUGGGGCGCGAGCUGCUGCAGCUGGUGAGCGCGCUGCCCGACCUGGCCUCCGCCUCGCUGGCCGACGCGCUGGCGGGCCAGGUCAAGGACCUGCUCAUGGUGAGUGCGUGCUCGGGCCGCCCGUGUAUCAUUUGUUUGCACAUACAACGCGGUGGGGCGCGAGCUGCUGCAGCUGGUGAGCGCGCUGCCCGACCUGGCCUCCGCCUCGCUGGCCGACGCGCUGGCGGGCCAGGUCAAGGACCUGCUCAUGGUGAGUGCGUGCUCGGGCCGCCCGUGUAUCAUUUGUUUGCACAUACAACGCGGUGGGGCGCGAGCUGCUGCAGCUGGUGAGCGCGCUGCCCGACCUGGCCUCCGCCUCGCUGGCCGACGCGCUGGCGGGCCAGGUCAAGGACCUGCUCAUGGUGGUGACGCUCGCACAACUGAUCAAGACGCAGCUGCAGCUCAACGAGAAGCUCACGCUGCUCACAUCGCAGUGACACUGCUGGGCUGUCCCCAGCUGUCGCCGGUACUUGUUGAUCGUCGCCGCGUCCGCAGAAUCUUAGUUUAACCUCAUAAAAACUAAAUAAACUGAUUUUUACAA